rnacentral:lncRNA from 1 species
UGAGCCACCAAAUUGGUAUUAUGCAAACCCUAGCUACUGCUAUUCAAUAACAAUUUCUAUUUACAGCGUCGAAAAAAGGGCGUACCAGUUAACUGGUAUGCGGCGGGAAAGAGGGAUUGGAUCGGCAAAGAUUGGGGACUGCAACUGGGAGGGUUACAAAAUCCAAAACAUGCUUUCUAUCUAUGCGUGCGCUGUACUGAGGACUACAAUUAUAUCAAUUUUUA